rnacentral:rRNA from 1 species
UACGUAGGGUGCGAGCGUUGUCCGGAAUUACUGGGCGUAAAGGGCUCGUAGGCGGCCAACUAAGUCGGAUGUGAAAUCCCCAGGCUUAACCUGGGAACUGCGUCUGAUACUGGGAGGCUUGAGUAUGGGAGAGGGAUGUAGAAUUCCAGGUGUAGCGGUGAAAUGCGUAGAUAUCUGGAGGAAUACCGGUGGCGAAGGCAAUCCCCUGGGCCUGCACUGACGCUCAUGCACGAAAGCGUGGGGAGCAAACAGG